CAGCCGCCACGGGAAUACAGAGGGUGCAAGCGUUAAUCGGAAUUACUGGGCGUAAAGCGCGCGUAGGUGGUUUGUUAAGUUGGAUGUGAAAUCCCCGGGCUCAACCUGGGAACUGCAUCCAAAACUGGCAGGCUAGAGUAGGGCAGAGGGUGGUGGAAUUUCCUGUGUAGCGGUGAAAUGCGUAGAUAUAGGAAGGAACACCAGUGGCGAAGGCGACCACCUGGGCUCAUACUGACACUGAGGUGCGAAAGCGUGGGGAGCAAACAGGAUUAGAUACCCGAGUAGUCCCUGUCUCUUAUAC
rnacentral:rRNA from 1 species